rnacentral:pre_miRNA from 1 species
UAGAGCUUAAAGGAGCUCUCGACACGCCAACUCUGAAAGGAAAAUGAUGGCACAAAUGCCACAGCUGCUAGUUCAUGGUCACCCCUGCCUCCGCACCAAUUCUCCGGCGCAGGCUAGGGUUUGCAUGAACUAGGAGUCGUGGGUUGCCUUCAUCUUUUUGGUAUUGGUGUGAAGGGAGUUCCCUUUUGCUCUUUU